GGGGGUCCCUACAUCCCCUAUAGGGCCGGGGGGGGGCCUAUAGAAUCUAUAGGGCCGGGGGGGGUCCCUAUAUCCCCUAUUGGUCUGGAGGGUCCCUAUAGAAUCUAUAGGGUCGAGGGGGGUCCCUAUAUCCCCUAUAGGGCCAGGGGGGUCCCUAUAGAAUCUAUAGGGCCAGGGGGGUCCCUACAUCCCCUAUAGUGUUGGGGGGGUCCCUAUAGAAUCUAUAGGGCUGGGGGGGUCCCUAUAGAAUCUAUAGGGCCGGGGGGGUCCGUAUAUCCCCUAUAGGGCCGAUGGGGGAGGGGCAGAACGGGCCUCACUGCUUCUCUCCCCCCCUCCCUUUCCCUUCCUGUCGCCAUGGCAACCGUCGCCAUGGCAACCGGCAGCAGCCCCAUAGCAACGGGGGGACUUAAAGUGGGGGGGACUGGGAUGGACUGGGAUAUACUGGGAUGGACUGGGGGGGCACUGGGAUGGAACUGGGAUGGACUGGGAGGGUACUGGGAUGGACUGGGAUGGACUGGGAUAUACUGGGAUGGACUGGGAUGGACUGGGAGGGGACUGGGAUAUACUGGGAUGGACUGGGGGGAUACUGUGGGGGUACUGGGAUAUACUGGGAUGGACUGGGAUAUACUGGGUUGGACUGGGAUGGACUGGGAUGGACUGGAGGGGCACUGGGAUAUACUGGGAUGAACUGGGGGGGCACUGGGAUAUACUGGGAUGGACUGGGAUGAACUGAGAUGGAACUGGGAUGGACUGGGAGGGUACUGGGAUAUACUGGGAUGAACUGGGCAGGCACUGGGAUGUACUGGGAUGGACUGGGAUAUACUGGGAUGGACUGGGGGGACACUGGGAUGGACUGAACUGGACUGGACUGGGGAGGGUACUGGGAUGGACUGGGAUGAACUGGGCGGGCACUGGGAUAUACUGGGAUGGACUGGGAUGGACUGGGGGGGCACUGGGAGAUACUGGGAUAUACUGGGAUGGACUGGGAGGGUACUGGGAGGGUACUGGGAUGAACUGGGCGGGCACUGGGAUAUACUGGGAUGGACUGGGAUGGACUGGGGGAGCACUGGGAGAUACUGGGAUAUACUGGGAUGGACUGGGAUAUACUGGGAUGGACUGGGGGGGCACCGGGAUGGACUGGAAUGGACUGGGGAGGGUACUGGGAUGGACUGGGAUGGACUGGGCGGGCACUGGGAUAUACUGGGAUGGACUGGGAUAUACUGGGAUGGACUUGGGGGGCACUGGGAUAUACUGGGAUGGACUGGGAUGGACUGGGGGGGCACUGGGAUGGACUGGGGGAUACUGGGAUGGACUGGAGGGAUACUGGGAUGGACUGGGAUGGACUGGGAUGGACUGGGAUGGACUGGGGGGGUACUGGGAUGGACUGGGGGGGUACUGGGAUAUACUGGGAUGGACUGGGAUAUACUGGAGGGGUACUGGGAUGGAUGGGGGGCACUGGGGGGGUACUGGGAUAUACUGGGGGCUACUGGGAUGGACUGGGAUUGACUGGGAUGGAACUGGGAUGGGCUGGGAUAUACUGGGAUGGAUUGGGGGGGACUGGGAUAUACUGGGAUAUACUGGGAUGGACUGGAAUGGACUGGGAUGGACUGGGGGGGCACUGGGAUGGACUGGGGGGGUACUGGGAUAUACUGGGAUGGACUGGGGGGGCACUGGGAUGGAACUGGGAUGGACUGGGAUGGACUGGGGGGAUACUGGGAUAUACUGGGAUGGACUGGGAUGGACUGGGAUGGACUGGGGGGGCACUGGGAUGGACUGGGGGGGUACUGGGAUAUACUGGGAUGGACUGGGAUAUACUGGAGGGGUACUGGGAUGGAUGGGGGGCACUGGGG
ensembl:lncRNA